CUGGAUAAUUGCUAGUAGAAAUACUAGAGGAAAGUCCAUGCUCGCACUAUCUGCGAUGAUAGUAGUGUUUGUGCCAGAGGAAACGAUAACUCUGGGUAGAUGGGAGCAUCUAACGGCAGAAUGAAACCUAAGUUUUAUAAUAUGGUCUAAUUCUUGAAAGUGCCACAGUGACGUAGUUAUAUAGAAAUAUAUAAGUGGAACGCGGUAAACCCCUCAAGCGAGAAACCUAAAUUUGGUAAGGGAAGAGAGAGCGAUAAAAUGAAAUCGUAAUCUCAUGCGAAAGCAUAGAUAAAUAAUUAUCCUCGACAGAACAUGGCUUACAG
rnacentral:RNase_P_RNA from 1 species